AGAACGAACGCUGGCGGCAUGCCUAACACAUGCAAGUCGAACGCUCCUGGGGCUUCGGUCUCAGGGGAGUGGCGCACGGGUGAGUAGCGCGUGGGAACCUGCCCUGUUGUGGGGGAUAACCGAGGGAAACUUCGGCUAAUACCGCAUAAGCCGGUUGUCUUGAAAGAGAUGACCGGGAAAGAUUUAUCGCCUUUGGAUCGGCCCGCGUCUGAUUAGCUAGUUGGCGGGGUAAUGGCCCACCAAGGCGACGAUCAGUAGCUGGUCUGAGAGGAUGACCAGCCACAUUGGGACUGAGACACGGCCCAAACUCCUACGGGAGGCAGCAGUGGGGAAUAUUGGACAAUGGGCGCAAGCCUGAUCCAGCCAUGCCGCGUGAGUGAUGAAGGCCUUAGGGUUGUAAAGCUCUUUCGCCGAGGACGAUAAUGACGGUACUCGGAUAAGAAGCCCCGGCUAACUUCGUGCCAGCAGCCGC
rnacentral:rRNA from 1 species